UACAGAGACCUCAAGCGUUAUCCGGAUUUAUUGGGCGUAAAGCGUCCGCAGGUGGUUCGUUAAGUCAUCGGUCAAAUCUCAGGGCUCAACCCUGGAACUGCCGAUGAUACUGGCGAGCUAGAAGCCGGUAGAGGACAGCGGAAUUGCAGGUGUAGGGGUAAAAUCCGUUUAUAUCUGCAAGAACACCGAAGGCGAAGGCAGCUGUCUGGAACGGCCUUGACACUCAUGGACGAAAGCGUGGGGAGCAAAAAGG
rnacentral:rRNA from 1 species